UUAAAUAAAGCUUUUGUAUAGUAUCUUAUUUACAUUAAGAAGAUCCCUUAGGGUAUUUAAAUUAAUUUAAUUUAUAAA
rnacentral:tRNA from 1 species